GGUUGUAGCUCAGAGGUAGAGCACUCGCCUAGCAUGCGUGAGUGAGGCACUGGGUUCGAUCCUCAGCACCUCA
rnacentral:tRNA from 1 species